UACGGAGGGAGCUAGCGUUAUUCGGAAUUACUGGGCGUAAAGCGCACGUAGGCGGCUUUGUAAGUUAGAGGUGAAAGCCUGGAGCUCAACUCCAGAACUGCCUUUAAGACUGCAUCGCUUGAAUCCAGGAGAGGUGAGUGGAAUUCCGAGUGUAGAGGUGAAAUUCGUAGAUAUUCGGAAGAACACCAGUGGCGAAGGCGGCUCACUGGACUGGUAUUGACGCUGAGGUGCGAAAGCAUGGGGAGCGAACAGG
rnacentral:rRNA from 1 species